GUGUCAGCAGCCGCGGUAAUACGUAGGGGGCAAGCGUUGUCCGGAUUUAUUGGGCGUAAAGAGCGUGUAGGCGGCCAGGUAGGUCCGUUGUGAAAACUGGAGGCUUAACCUUCAGACGUCGAUGGAAACCAUCUGGCUAGAGUCCGGAAGAGGAGAAUGGAAUUCCUGGUGUAGCGGUGAAAUGCGCAGAUAUCAGGAAGAACACCCGUGGCGAAGGCGGUUCUCUGGGACGGUACUGACGCUGAGACGCGAAAGCGUGGGGAGCGAACAGGAUUAGAAACCCUUGUAGUCC
rnacentral:rRNA from 1 species